rnacentral:rRNA from 1 species
AUAUCAAUAAGCGGAGGAAAAGAAACCAACAGGGAUUGCCUUAGUAACGGCGAGUGAAGCGGCAACAGCUCAAAUUUGAAAUCUGGCGUCUUUGGCGUCCGAGUUGUAAUUUGCAGAGGAUGCUUCGGCGUUGGCGCCGCCCAAAGUUCCUUGGAACGGGACGUCGCAGAGGGUGAGAGCCCCGUGUUCGGGCGGAUGCCUUCGCCGUGUGAAGCUCCUUCGACGAGUCGAGUUGUUUGGGAAUGCAGCUCAAAACGGGAGGUAAAUUUCUUCCAAAGCUAAAUACCGGCCGGAGACCGAUAGUGCACAAGUAGAGUGAUCGAAAGAUGAAAAGCACUUUGGAAAGAGAGUCAAACAGCGCGUGAAAUUGUUAAAAGGGAAGCGCUUGCGGUCAGAACUUGGCCGCCGUUGCUCGGGGAGGUCUCGCGCCUCCCUCGCUCUUCGGCGGCUGGGCCAGCAUCGGUUCGGGCGGCUCGAGAAAGGUCGCGGGAAUGUAGCUCCCUCCGGGGAGUGUUAUAGCCCGCGGCGCAAUAGGGCCCGCCUGGACCGAGGUCUGCGCAUUUGCUCGGAUGCUGGCGUAAUGGCCCCAAGCGGCCCGUCUUGAAACACGGACCAAGGAGUCUAACAUUCGUGCGAGUGUUCGGGUGUCAAACCCGUGCGCGCAAUGAAAGUGAACGUAGGUGGGAACCCCUCGUGGGCGCACCAUCGACCGAUCCUGAUGUCUUCGGAUGGAUUUGAGUAUGAGCACGUAUGUUGGGACCCGAAAGAUGGUGAACUAUGCCUAAGCAGGGCGAAGCCAGAGGAAACUCUGGUGGAGGCUCGCAGCGGUUCUGACGUGCAAAUCGAUCGUCAAAUUUGGGUAUAGGGGCGAAAGACUAAUCG